GGAGAGUUUGAUCCUGGCUCAGGACGAACGCUGGCGGCGUGCUUAACACAUGCAAGUCGAACGGAGUUUUGCGGAGAGCUUGCUCUCUGCAAGACUUAGUGGCGGACGGGUGAGUAACGCGUAGGCAAUCUGCCCGUAAGAGGGGGAUAACACCGGGAAACCGGUGCUAAUACCGCAUAACAUCACUGGGUUGCAUGACCCGGUGAUAAAAGGAGAAAUCCGCUUACGGAUGAGCCUGCGUCUGAUUAGCUGGUUGGCAGGGUAACGGCCUACCAAGGCGACGAUCAGUAGCCGGCCUGAGAGGGUGACCGGCCACACUGGAACUGAGACACGGUCCAGACUCCUACGGGAGGCAGCAGUGGGGAAUCUUCCGCAAUGGGCGAAAGCCUGACGGAGCAACGCCGCGUGAGUGAUGAAGGCCUUCGGGUUGUAAAACUCUGUCUUCAGGGAAGAAACAAAUGACGGUACCUGAGGAGGAAGCCACGGCUAACUACGUGCCAGCAGCCGCGGUAAUACGUAGGUGGCAAGCGUUGUCCGGAAUUACUGGGCGUAAAGAGCGCGUAGGCGGGAAUUUAAGUCAGGAGUGUAAACUGCCGGCUCAACCGGGAGCUUGCUUCUGAAACUGGAUUUCUUGAGGGUAUGAGAGGGAAGCGGAAUUCCUAGUGUAGCGGUGAAAUGCGUAGAUAUUAGGAGGAACACCAGUGGCGAAGGCGGCUUCCUGGCAUACAACUGACGCUGAGGCGCGAAAGCGUGGGGAGCAAACGGGAUUAGAUACCCCGGUAGUCCACGCCGUAAACGAUGGGCACUAGGUGUAGAGUACGGCCGCAAGGUUGAAACUCAAAGGAAUUGACGGGGGCCCGCACAAGCGGUGGAGUAUGUGGUUUAAUUCGACGCAACGCGAAGAACCUUACCAGGGCUUGACAUCCUCUGACAGCGUAUGAAAGUACGUCUUCGGGCUUCGGUUCGACAGAGAGACAGGUGGUGCAUGGUUGUCGUCAGCUCGUGUCGUGAGAUGUUGGGUUAAGUCCCGCAACGAGCGCAACCCCUAUCUUUAGUUGCCAUCAGGUGAAGCUGGGCACUCUGGAGAGACUGCCGGUGACAAACCGGAGGAAGGUGGGGAUGACGUCAAAUCAUCAUGCCCCUUAUGUUCUGGGCUACACACGUACUACAAUGGCCGGUACAAUGGGCGGCGAAGGAGCGAUCCGGAGCAAAUCCCAUCAAAGCCGGUCCCAGUUCGGAUUGCAGUCUGCAACUCGACUGCAUGAAGGCGGAAUCGCUAGUAAUCGCAGGUCAGCAUACUGCGGUGAAUACGUUCCCGGGCCUUGUACACACCGCCCGUCACACCACGAAAGUCGGCAACACCCGAAGCCGGUGAGCUAACCGUAAGGAGGCAGCCGUCGAAGGUGGGGUCAAUGAUUGGGGUGAAGUCGUAACAAGGUAGAAGUGGGAAGUGAGAAGUUGGAAGUGAGAAAUCACGGAAGGAAUUCGCUAAAGCGAAUUCCAACUGAAAAUCCAACAACCCACUUCACACAUCACACAUC
rnacentral:rRNA from 1 species